AGCGACGGAUAGCAACCACGUGAUCAGUAAAAAUUGUGUAUUUUCACGUGAAUUCAUUUUCCGGAAUUCCUUACUCCGUCAUAGAAUAGUCGAAAAACAAAAAGGGGUUCCGAAAGUGUUUUGUUGCUGUGACUGACUCGCCUACAGAAAAUAUGCACAUACCACAUAAGUAUACGUCAAUGUCUGUAGUAAUGGUAGAUCAAAUGUUUCAUCUGUGUGAAACUUUUUGCUAAUUGAAAUGUUAAACCAACCACCAAUCCAUGUACAUAGAUGCGCUACGUAAACAAAGUUGUUGAUUGAUGCAUCGUAAUGUCCGAGUGCUGCAUGCUGAGAGAUUAAAUACUGUUUAUACAGUCAUUGAGAGGCCAAACAAAGUUUCUUGCAAGAAGAGGAAGUUGGUGGAUGUAUUCAAGUUGGACAACGAAAUCAUAGUUUCGUUUGGCAUCAGCCUGAAGACCGAGGGAGGUUAGAUAGGACCAGUGCAGGUUGAAGUGGAUUUCGAGUCAACAAGUAUAACAGCAAGAGAGGUACUCCAUUUACAGUGAUGAUGACAUAUCCCCUGGACCCCACAAAUCCACAAAUUUAAAAAUGUUUGAUCAAGUUCCGAAGAUUAAAGAACUACUGCAAAAUUUGGGACUGGAUGAAAAACAUUAAUUCACUUAUAUGAGCUCAGAGCAGUGGAUGUUAUACAACAUACUUUAAACUAAAUUGUGAAUUUAAGGGAAAACAAGUACAUGUCAUGUACUCGUAUAUUACAAGUACAUGCCUUUUGAAAGACAAUAAUAUUGCAUAGAUGUAAAGGAAAUUUCAAUGUUGAUUAUUUUUUCUUAGAUAUAUUAGUAAAAAAUGUGCACAU